rnacentral:rRNA from 1 species
AUGGAGGCGAUGGGGAAGCAGCAGAGGGAGGAGGUGCUCCUCCGCGCCGCCUCCGACGGCAACCUCCGACUCCUCAAGAAGAUGGCGCGCUGGAUGGGGUCAGGGGGCCAAGGCGAGGCCGCCGUACUUGCGGCGGUGGAGGACGGCGAAGGGGGUCGCCCGCUGCACCUGGCGGCCGGGGCGGGCCGGGUCGAGGUCUGCAGGUACCUCGUCGAGGACCUCCGCCUCGAUGUCAAUCAACUCAACUGUCAAGGUCACACGCCACUGUACCUUUCUGCCUAUUUUGGGAGAGCUGCUGCUGCAACAUAUCUUCUUGAUCAUGGUGCCGAUCCACUAGCUAGCAAACUACGGUCACCUCUUUAUGGCGCUGCAAUGCAAGGGCAUUGUGAAAUGUUAGAAAUGCUGCUUUCAAGAGGACUCGAUGUGGAUUUAAAUUCUGUACAAGGGACGGCAUUGCAUGCAGCUGCUUGUUAUAAACAACAUGGCAUGAUGAAGAUUUUGUUGGAGCACCAUGCCGAUCCUAACAAGGUUUGCUAUCUUAAUAAUACCCCGUUGAGUUUGGCCAUGCGGCAGCGGGACAUGUCUACAGAGUUGUUGGAAUGUGCCAAGCUACUCAUAAAGGCUGGUGCUGAUGUGAAUUUUAUUGACCUUGAUGGUGAUAGUUACGUGACAGUGGCAGCGAAGUUCGGCUAUCCUGGCAUCAUGAAGUGCUUAUUAGAUGCUGGUGCUAACCCCGAUAUUCCAGAUGAAUAUGGUAGAACACCAGUUGAAUUUGCUGCCUCUAACGGCAGUAGGGAUAUGGUUGAAAUGUUAUUCCCUUUAACUUCUCCUAUUUCAACGCUGCCGGACUGGAGUAUUGAUGGAAUCAUUUCUCAUGUGAAACACUAUGGUUUGAAGCCGAGGGAUAAACAAAAGUGUGCGAAGAGAAGAACUGAACUGAAACAGAAAGCUUUAAAGGCUUUUAAGGAAGAGGAAUAUUUUAUAGCAGCACUGCUGUAUAGUUGUGCAAUAACACUUGACCCGAGUCCAGAUGAAUAUGCAACCCUAUUGGCAAAUAGGAGUCUCUGCUGUUUGCGCACCAAGAACGGAAGAGCUGCUCUCCCUGAUGCUACCAUGUGCAGAAGGGUGCGACCUUUUUGGCCAAAAGCCUGCUAUCGAGAAGGGUCAGCUUUUAUGUUAUUGAAGGACUAUGAGAAAGCAUGCAAGGCUUUUGCGGAUGGCUUGAAGCUUGACCCUACAAAUGGUGAUCUUGCAAAUGCUUUAAGGGAAGCCCAAGAAGCUGCGAAGGAUGCUCGUCGCCCUGAAAAUUGA